CUGAGCUAAACCCCCAGCCCCUUCAAUAAAAUAUUGAGAUUCUCUUUCAGUCCUAAAAGAAGAAGAAAUCUGCAUGCCCUCUAAUCUGCCUAACACUUGCUGAAUUCUGAUUGCUUUGUUGAUGCCAGGAUAUAGAAUCAACUCCAGUGUCUCACAAGUAUAUGAAUGGAUAAAGAAAAUGUGGCAUAUGUACACAAUAAAAUAUUUUAGCAGGCUGGGAUGGUUGGAAGGAGUAUGUGGAGAGAUGGUAGAGUAAGUCUGUGGUGUCUGUGCCAAAAUAUUUUUGAAAAUUCUACAAGAAGACUUACAAAGUGAUAUGCAACAUAAGUCAACUGUAUUUGGUCAUUCCCCAACGUAUGUAUAUUGUUCUUUAAAAUGUAUUGUGUCU